UUGAACGCUGGCGGCAUGCCUUACACAUGCAAGUCGAACGGUAGAGGGGCAACCCUUGAGAGUGGCGAACGGGUGAGUAAUAUAUCGGAACGUGCCCAGUCGUGGGGGAUAACGCAGCGAAAGCUGCGCUAAUACCGCAUACGAUCUAUGGAUGAAAGCGGGGGAUCGCAAGACCUCGCGCGAUUGGAGCGGCCGAUAUCAGAUUAGGUAGUUGGUGGGGUAAAAGCC
rnacentral:rRNA from 1 species